rnacentral:rRNA from 1 species
ACGGGAGGCAGCAGUGAGGAAUAUUGGUCAAUGGGCGGAAGCCUGAACCAGCCAAGUCGCGUGAAGGAUGAAGGUAUUAUGUAUUGUAAACUUCUUUAGCCAGGGGGCAAUAAGGCGUACGCGUACGCCGAUGAGAGUACCUGGAGAAUAAGGAUCGGCUAACUCCGUGCCAGCAGCCGCGGUAAUACGGAGGAUCCGAGCGUUAUCCGGAUUUAUUGGGUUUAAAGGGUGCGCAGGCGGCCUGUCAAGUCAGUGGUAAAAUCGUGGGGCUCAACCCCAUCCUGCCAUUGAUACUGCCGGGCUUGAUUGCGGUUGAGGUUGGCGGAAUUCGUUGUGUAGCGGUGAAAUGCAUAGAUAUGACGAAGAACUCCGAUUGCGUAGGCAGCUGACCAAGCCGUAAAUGACGCUCAUGCACGAAAGUGCGGGGAUCGAACAGGAUUAGAUACCCUGGUA